rnacentral:rRNA from 1 species
CCUACGGGAGGCUGCAGUGGGGAAUAUUGGACAAUGGGGGCAACCCUGAUCCAGCCAUGCCGCGUGUGUGAAGAAGGCCCUCGGGUUGUAAAGCACUUUCAGUGAGGAAGAACGCCUGGUGGUUAAUACCCAUCAGGAAAGACAUCACUCACAGAAGAAGCACCGGCUAACUCCGUGCCAGCAGCCGCGGUAAUACGGAGGGUGCGAGCGUUAAUCGGAAUUACUGGGCGUAAAGCGCGCGUAGGUGGCUUGAUAAGCCGGUUGUGAAAGCCCCGGGCUCAACCUGGGAACGGCAUCCGGAACUGUCAAGCUAGAGUGCGGGAGAGGAAGGUAGAAUUCCCGGUGUAGCGGUGAAAUGCGUAGAGAUCGGGAGGAAUACCAGUGGCGAAGGCGGCCUUCUGGACUGACACUGACACUGAGGUGCGAAAGCGUGGGUAGCAAACAGGAUUAGAUACCCGUGUAGUC